GCUUGCUUUCUCCGCUGACGAGCGGCGGACGGGUGAGUAAUGUCUGGGGAUCUGCCUGAUGGAGGGGGAUAACUACUGGAAACGGUAGCUAAUACCGCAUAACGUCGCAAGACCAAAGUGGGGGACCUUCGGGCCUCAUGCCAUCAGAUGAACCCAGAUGGGAUUAGCUAGUAGGUGAGGUAAUGGCUCACCUAGGCGACGAUCCCUAGCUGGUCUGAGAGGAUGACCAGCCACACUGGAACUGAGACACGGUCCAGACUCCUACGGGAGGCAGCAGUGGGGAAUAUUGCACAAUGGGCGCAAGCCUGAUGCAGCCAUGCCGCGUGUAUGAAGAAGGCCUUCGGGUUGUAAAUUACUUUCAGUAGGGAGGAAGGUGUACGUGUUAAUAGCACGUGCAAUUGACGUUACCUACAGAAGAAGCACCGGCUAACUCCGUGCCAGCAGCCGCGGUAAUACGGAGGGUGCAAGCGUUAAUCGGAAUUACUGGGCGUAAAGCGCACGCAGGCGGUUUGUUAAGUUGGAUGUGAAAUCCCCGGGCUUAACCUGGGAACUGCAUCCAAGACUGGCAAGCUAGAGUCUCGUAGAGGGAGGUAGAAUUCCAGGUGUAGCGGUGAAAUGCGUAGAGAUCUGG
rnacentral:rRNA from 1 species